GCAGUCGGGCACUGUCACACAGUGUGCUCGAGUGGACGUAGUCACGCAAAGGUGUCGUAACCAGCAGGCCGGCUUUCCUCCCCCAGAUCUCCCAUAUAUGGCUCCUGGUAGAAACCUCAGCCAUGGUCUACAGGAAGUUAAGGAUGUUUGCACGUGUGAUGGUGCGGGCAGUGAACCUGCGGGUGGUGGUCACGUGGUCGGUGGCGGCGACGCUGCUGGUGCUGGUGGGACUAGCCAUGAGACACAACAACAACCAGGUGGAAGGUAACUUUUUGAGGACCGCCGCCAGACCCCUUGACGCCCUUCAGCGUGUACCACCAGAGCCUCUGGCCGAGCCUCGCCAACAAGAUGUUGUGGAAGGUAAUAAUAACAGAGUUGGUAGUGGGAAGCGGUGUGAUAGUGAGAAGUGGGUGGAAGGUUUACCGCCACUCUAUAUUAUCACCCCUACCUACCCCAGGGCAGAGCAGGUGCCAGAGCUCACACGCACUGGCCAGACGCUCAUGCAUGUUAACAAUGUGGUAUGGAUUGUUUCCGAGGAUGCUGCCGUGGCUACUAAGGCUGUGGUCCAAUACCUUAACGAGUCAAUUCUCAACACUAUUUACCUCCGUGUUCAGAUGCCAGUAAAAUACAAAAAAGUAAAAAAUAAGCCACGAGGAGUAGCCAACCGUAUGGCAGGACUAAACUGGAUUCGUGAACACGCCAAGGAUGGAGUCUUGUAUUUUGCAGAUGAUGACAACACGUACGACAUUCGCAUCUUUCAGCAGAUGAGAUGGACUCGUAAAGUAUCAAUGUUUCCAGUCGGAUUGGUAACAAAACUUGGAGUUUCCACACCUAUUGUCAAAGAAGGAAAAGUGGUUGGUUUCUAUGAUGGCUGGAUAGCCAAGCGAAAGUUCCCUGUGGACAUGGCUGGGUUUGCUGUUAAUGUGCAAUACCUUUUGGAGAGACCCUUAGCUUCUAUGCCCUAUAAAGUUGGCUAUGAAGAAGAUGGCUUUAUGAAGAGUCUGGGUAUUAAAGCAUCAGAAAUAGAGCCACUUGCAUUUAACUGCACAAAGCAUUCCCUCGGGCAAGAUGUGCUUUUUUAGCACAGGGUUUUGACAUGAAGAAUGGCCAGUUCAGUACACACCAUAAACAAGGACCACUGACAAGGGAGGUUGCAAGAGACCAUGCAGCAUGGAGAGCUGCCAUCAGAUAUGGGUGUGGCAUACACAGACAAAGAAGAAUGAACCUGCUAUACCAGUUAAUCGAACGAGAGCUACUUUUGGUUCUAACCUUGACAUCAUUAGUGAACAAUUGUGGAGGGGCACUGGAACUAAUUCAUAG
rnacentral:misc_RNA from 1 species